CCUGUAUGCUUGGUGAUCCAGGCUUCUGUGAGUAACAAAAUGCGUUCCCAGCCCUGCUGAAUGACAGAACACCAGUGAUGAGGUAGCACUCAGUAAAGCUGACUCAUUUCCUCGUUUAUAGAUGAAGGGGAUUGUCCAAGAAAUAAUCUCCCAGAGCCAGCUUGUUUGCCCGGAGGAAAGAAUUCAUUGAACAGCCACAGACUACAUUCCAGAACGUUAGCCAAGCACUUUGCAACAGGGUACCAUUGGGUCAUAGCAAGGCCUGCCACCACGCCUGGCAGGGCGACUCCAAAUACCUGCCCAUGGGACAGAGGUCUGGUUGCAGGAGAUCACAAUGCUAUUGUUCCGUGUUUGGAAUCUGAGAAUCUGCAGAGGCAGCUCAUUGGCCCUCAGGGAGGAUGACAAUUAGCAGGGCAGGUGCAACGCUGCACCUCCCGACCUCCCAACCCCUCUUUUAUCUGUUUUACAAAUUGGACAACUCUGCUUUGAUCUGCUUUCGUGUAAGAGUUCAUCGGAGCAGGAGGAGAUAAAAGUUGUCAAAGCUGAGCCCAGAAAGAGACACAGUGAGAAGGCAGCCGUCUGCAAGCCCGGAAGAGAGCUCUCACCAGCUCUUGGCCAUGACUCCAGCCUCCAGAACCAUGAGAAAUAAAGCCCUGUUGUUUUAGCUGCCUGGUCUGUAGGACUUGGUUAUGACAGCCCGAGUUGACCUGUACACAGAGGGGCCUCUCCUUCUGAGGGGCCAGCCCUGCUUUCCCCACCUGCCCUCUGCUUGGUGGUACUCUGGGUUUUCUCACAGCCUGUGCGUUCCUGCCUCCCAUCUGGAUUAGAAGCUUCAUCCUUAGGACUCCAGUAACAGGCCGUAUCAUGAUUUGCACCCCUCGGGCGCUAGCCAGAUACAUUUCUCACUCAAUAAAGUGUAAUAUUUGCUGAUUGAUUAACUAGUCUUGAGAGAUGAUUAGCCAAGUUGUACCUAUAUCUUGAAAUAGUUUGUUUUUACUUUGGUUUCAGAAUUGGCAAAGAAAUAUGGGGAUACUUAUGCACAAAAUUUCUGGCUACUUGGUGAUACGAGUGUGUUGCUUAUUUUCUCCUGGAAUGAUCCAGAUUCAGAGAGUUACCUCAGCACUGACCUUUAUCUUGCAUAUAAACAUAAAAUGGGGCCCAGGACUCCAAAUUCUACAAAACUCACUGUAAUUUUCUUUGAAUGGAGGUCGUUUUAUCAAUAAUAUUAAAAUCCCAUUAAAUUAUCUGACCCUAGACCGGGGUGCUUCAUACUGUUCUCUUUCUUUAUAAUUAUUUAAUCUCUUUUUAGUAGAAAAGAGGAAAAAUCCCUUGAACCAGAAAUGAUUUCUUUCUACUCUAACAGUAUUCCUUUCUUCACUCUGGGUGAAAUAAACUUAACAGAAAGGACCUGAACUCUCCACUCCAGGCCACACGAUUUAAUGUGAUGCAGGAUUUUCAAUUAAUGGCAAUACCUUGGACUUGAUCAGGAAAUCAACCACGAGAACUGAAGCUGCAAGGGGUUAACACUUUUUCAUUGUUUUUACAGAAAAACUAUGUAUGUCAAAAAAUAAUCCAAAGGAUUUUUCAUUCGCAUUUCUAACCUAAA